CUGACGUCACCGCGCACGUUGCGCGCGCGAUCACGUGCUGUCGCCGCCGCCCUGCGUGCGCGCUCUGUCCCGGCUCGGGAGCGAGCAAGCUGCGCAGAGGUAACUCCGGAGGUGGAGAGAGUGCAGGGGUCCGACGCGCAGGGUUUGAGACCCUCGGAGAGAGGGAGGACGACGCAGAGAUCCCGAGGACAGAUGGAAGGGACCGGGAAGAGACUCCUGUCUGAGGGAGGCCGCCUGAGUGAAAGCUGAGCGCCGGAGACGGUGGUGCCGGGAUGAAGGCGAGAGCUACGGUGGGGGCGCUGGGGUGGAGGUGAAGUGAAGGAAAGGAGGUCUCACUAUGUUGCUCAGGCUGACCCUCCAAGUUGUGACGUAGCCAAGGCUGGGCUGAUGCACUCCAGUAUCAAAAAGACUCAAAAUUGGAGUCUUUUGACGUAUACUACCAGAGAAAUGAAAAAGCUGUGCUCCAUUUGUGUACAAUGAACCAAAUGCAUUCUGCUGUCAUGUUAAUUAGAACAAAUAAAUAUAUAUAAAAAUAUAAAUGGA